AAUCAUUAUAGUGGGAGAGACAAAAAAAGAAAGAAAGAAGGAAGAGAGAAGAGAAGAAAAGGAAAAGAAAAGGAAAACACCAAUUCAACUUGCCAGAAACAGCGACCAACACUGAGCUCCUGAUACGGCACAAUCCCUCCAGGAGACCAGCCUGGCACAUGAUGACAAGUUGAUCACGCUAGGCACAGUAACAGACAUACUCCAGUGUAUGGUUUUGACUUAC